UACAGAGGGUGCGAGCGUUAAUCGGAAUUACUGGGCGUAAAGCGCACGUAGGUGGCGACGUAAGUCGGGUGUGAAAGCCCCGGGCUCAACCUGGGAAUUGCAUUCGAGACUGCAUUGCUGGAGUACGGAAGAGGAAGGCGGAAUUCCCGGUGUAGCGGUGAAAUGCGUAGAGAUGUGGAGGAACACCGAUGGCGAAGGCAGCCUUCUGGGCCAAUACUGACGCUCAUGCACGAAAGCGUGGGGAGCAAACAGG
rnacentral:rRNA from 1 species